rnacentral:lncRNA from 1 species
AUGUCUUCCACAGUGAGGGUGGCGAGGCAGUGGAACAGGUUGCCAGAGACGUGGUGGAUGCGCUGCCUCUUUCAAGGCAAGGCUGGGUCAGACUCUGAGCAACCUGAUCCAGCUGUGGAUGUUCACUGUGGGGGAGUCAGACCGCAUCGCAAACCUACCUGCAUACAAGCAGUGCACCAACAUGGAGCUCAUAGUGUUCGUUACCUGCCGCACAGAUCUCACACCGCUGAUUGGAGGAGCACAGUCUGUCCCUGAUGCCAAUUGGUGACUGUAUGAAAACUGCUGAGUCAUGGCUCUGGUUGAUCACCUGAGGCAGCGAUGAGUCAGCACGAAGCACAGCUGAAGGCAAUCAACCGGUGCUGCCAGAAGGGCAGAAUCUGGCUCCGCCUCUCCUGGACCCAUUUAAAAACUGACCAGCAGUGGGGAACAAUCUUUUCUGGAAAUCUACUGUGAUGGAGUUUGAUAAUGAAGGCCAGCAUAUGGGUAAGUUUGCUACCUAUUCUCUUUUUGUAAUUAUAAUCUUCUUUGCCUGACUCUCUUGUUUAUAAUUGUAGCAUCUUAAUAUUAAUUGAUGAUAUGCUUGGCAAGUACAGCAGACCAAAUAUACUAGAAUUUAUAAUGUAUCUUUUCUUUGCAAUUUCUAUAAAUGGGUCAAUGGGGAAAACACUGCGCCCCUAGAUUAAAUGAUUCCUGGGCAGGUCCCAGGACUUCUGAAAUCUCACUGUUCUGAACUAACAGUUAUCACUGAAAAAUGAAGUCCCCUACCUGUUAUGGGAAAUAUUUUUUCCAACACUGUUUAAUAGAUUAGUUUCAUAAACUAAGCAAAGAUACAUUGAUCACAAAAGAAAGACAAUUGCCUGCCUCCACAGUGGCAUGACCACUAUUAAAUACUUUAAACCAUGCUGAAAUGAGGAAUAAUACUUUAGAGAAUGAAAACCAACUUUUGAAAAACAAAAUUGAAAAGUUAGAGAAAGAACUUGGCAUAUUAACAGGGAAGAACCCAAUUCUACAUCUUCUAAUAAGUAAAGUUUGUAACAUUUCAAUACACGAUAACCAGAAUCCUGAAUCAACAAACUUAGUUGACCAGGAAAAUAAAAAAAAUCUACAUGACAUCUCAAAUUUGCAAUUUCAACAGAUAUGCUAGAAAUCUGU